UACGUAGGGGGCAAGCGUUAUCCGGAUUUACUGGGUGUAAAGGGAGCGUAGACGGCGCAGCAAGUCUGAUGUGAAAGGCAGGGGCUUAACCCCUGGACUGCAUUGGAAACUGCUGCGCUUGAGUGCCGGAGGGGUGAGCGGAAUUCCUAGUGUAGCGGUGAAAUGCGUAGAUAUUAGGAGGAACACCAGUGGCGAAGGCGGCUUACUGGACGGUAACUGACGUUGAGGCUCGAAAGCGUGGGGAGCAAACAGG
rnacentral:rRNA from 1 species